rnacentral:siRNA from 1 species
GAGGGCUGGGCUCGGGGGUC